AGUAUUAGCUAUGUUCUUUAAACCUAAAGAAUUUGGCGGUAUUUUAGUCUUUUCAGAGGAACUUGUCCUAUAAUCGAUAACCCUCGUUUUAUCUUUCUUGAUUUUGUUCAAUCAGUAUGUAUAUCGCCGUUAUAAGUUUAUUUUUUUAGAAUUAUUAAUUUGCUAAUUAUUUUAUUUUAUUUUAUUUCAGGUCAAGGUGCAGUUAAUAGUUAAGUUGAGAUGAGUUACAUUAUUAUCUGGAUGUGUGGAUUUGCUUUAAUUAAAUUAAUCAAUGAAAGUGGAUUUGAUAGUAAUUUUGAUUAUAGUGUUAUUAUGAUUUUAGCUCUAAGAUAAGUACACAUCGCCCGGUCGCUCU
rnacentral:rRNA from 1 species